GAUGAACGCUGGCGGCGUGCCUAAUACAUGCAAGUCGAGCGAACAGACGAGGAGCUUGCUCCUCUGACGUUAGCGGCGGACGGGUGAGUAACACGUGGAUAACCUACCUAUAAGACUGGGAUAACUUCGGGAAACCGGAGCUAAUACCGGAUAACAUGUUGAACCGCAUGGUUCAACAGUCAAAGACGGUUUUGCUGUCACUUAUAGAUGGAUCCGCGCCGCAUUAGCUAGUUGGUAAGGUAACGGCUUACCAAGGCAACGAUGCGUAGCCGACCUGAGAGGGUGAUCGGCCACACUGGAACUGAGACACGGUCCAGACUCCUACGGGAGGCAGCAGUAGGGAAUCUUCCGCAAUGGGCGAAAGCCUGACGGAGCAACGCCGCGUGAGUGAAGAAGGUCUUCGGAUCGUAAAACUCUGUUAUUAGGGAAGAACAAAUGUGUAAGUAACUAUGCACGUCUUGACGGUACCUAAUCAGAAAGCCACGGCUAACUACGUG
rnacentral:rRNA from 1 species